ACUCUACGGGAGGCAGCAGUGGGGAAUAUUGCACAAUGGGCGCAAGCCUGAUGCAGCCAUGCCGCGUGUAUGAAGAAGGCCUUCGGGUUGUAAAGUACUUUCAGCAGUGAGGAAGGUGGGUAUGUUAAUAGCAUAUUCAUUUGACGUUAGCUGCAGAAGAAGCACCGGCUAACUCCGUGCCAGCAGCCGCGGUAAUACGGAGGGUGCGAGCGUUAAUCGGAAUUACUGGGCGUAAAGCGCAUGCAGGUGGUUUGUUAAGUCAGAUGUGAAAGCCCGGGGCUCAACCUCGGAAUUGCAUUUGAAACUGGCAAACUAGAGUACUGUAGAGGGGGGUAGAAUUUCAGGUGUAGCGGUGAAAUGCGUAGAGAUCUGAAGGAAUACCGGUGGCGAAGGCGGCCCCCUGGACAGAUACUGACACUCAGAUGCGAAAGCGUGGGGAGCAAACAGGAUUAGAUACCCUGGUAGCUACGAG
rnacentral:rRNA from 1 species